AGGAGCCGUAUGAGAUGAAAAUCUCAUGUACGGUUCUGGAACGGAGAUUUUCUGAAUAGAAUGAACGACCGUAAC
rfam:Ananas comosus cultivar MD2 ACMD2_Scaffold_4121, whole genome shotgun sequence.